UACAUGGGUGCAAACGUUGCUCGGAAUUAUUGGGCGUAAAGCGCGCGUAGGCGGUUACUCAAGUCGGAUGUGAAAGCCCUCGGCUUAACUGAGGAAGUGCACCCGAAACUGAGUAGCUAGAGUACUAAAGAGGGUCGCGGAAUUCCCGGUGUAGAGGUGAAAUUCGUAGAUAUCGAGGAGGAACACCGGUGGCGAAGGCGACCACCUGGACAGAGACUGACGCUGAGGCGACGAAAGCGUGGGGAGCAAACAGG
rnacentral:rRNA from 1 species